GGUGGUGGGAGGGUUUAUAAAUAACCAGUGAGUUUUUCUACCAUUGGAGUUUGAGUAGGAGGCAAAGUUUAUCUCAUUCUCCGCAUUCACUAAGGGCUCUGCCUCAAUGAAUUUGAGAGUAGAUCUUUGGGCCAGACUCCAACUGUAGGCUAGGCCAAAGAGCAGGUCACUUGGCUAGUCCAGAAAGCAAAAAAGCAUUUGCUUUUAUUAUGGGGCACUAAGGGCUGCUAAUAUUUGAUAAAUGUGGGAACGUGGAGAAAGCUAACCAAGCUCCAGCAAGCUCUGAAGG
rnacentral:lncRNA from 1 species